rnacentral:rRNA from 1 species
AUGGUCGUUUUCUUCUUGUUUUCAUUCAUUCAGUGGUGCAUCUGGUUUGAGCCAUGGAUCCGCUCGACUAUCUGUGCAUCAGGUUUCAGUUCAGAGGACAAUUUGAACAUGAUGGAACAGAUCAACAGAGUGGCAGCAUGUGAAUGGAAUACAAAGGCCUUUCAACACUCGAGCACCACAAGAUGGCCAAACAUGUCAAGGCCUCAACGGGAUCGCUCCGGGUGCCCACCCCCAAACGUAUCCGUGGUCGACCUCGCGGUGCAGGUCUCCAAGAAGACCCUCGACGAGGAGGUGAACCAGGCGUUCCACGACGGCGCGGCCAACGAGCUCAAUGCCUUCCUCGACGCCUGCCAUGAGCCGCUCGUGUCCAUUGAUUUCAGGUGCUCCGACGUGUCCUCCACCAUCGACGCGUCGCUCAGCAUGAUCAUGGGAGACGACAUGGUAAGGUCAUCGCAUGGUACGACGAGUGGGGUCGCUCAGCAUGGUCAUGGGAGACGACAUGGUAAGGUCAUCGCAUGGUACGACGAGUGGGGUUACUCCCAGAGGGUAGUCGACCUCGCCGACACCAUCGCCAACCAAUGGAAGUGA